rnacentral:rRNA from 1 species
GAUGAACGCUGGCGGCGUGCCUAAUACAUGCAAGUCGAGCGAACAGAUGAGGAGCUUGCUCCUCUGACGUUAGCGGCGGACGGGUGAGUAACACGUGGAUAACCUACCUAUAAGACUGGGAUAACUUCGGAAAACCGGAGCUAAUACCGGAUAAUAUAUUGAACCGCAUGGUUCAAUAGUGAAAGACGGUUUUGCUGUCACUUAUAGAUGGAUCCGCGCCGCAUUAGCUAGUUGGUAAGGUAACGGCUUACCAAGGCAACGAUGCGUAGCCGACCUGAGAGGGUGAUCGGCCACACUGGAACUGAGACACGGUCCAGACUCCUACGGGAGGCAGCAGUAGGGAAUCUUCCGCAAUGGGCGAAAGCCUGACGGAGCAACGCCGCGUGAGUGAUGAAGGUCUUCGGAUCGUAAAACUCUGUUAUUAGGGAAGAACAAAUGUGUAAUUAACUAUGCACGUCUUGACGGUACCUAAUCAGAAAGCCACGGCUAACUACGUG